GCUUCUUAACUUAAAGAAUUAAUAACAUCUAACUCAUAAAUAGGAGAAAUAUCAUUAGGGUAUUUCAUUGCAUAAAAAACAUUGAAUUUAAUUACUUUUCCUACAAACUCCAUGGUUAAUGCGCUAUCAUGUAUAUCAAUUUUUGUCCUUGCUGUGCUGAGAAAAAGGCCUCCCCAAGAGGAUAUCAGAUGUUGCAUUGGUCUUGUCUUCCUCCAUGUCAAUCACAUAAAAAUCUGCUGGAAAAACUAGCCCGUCAACUUAGACCAACACAUCUUCAAG
rnacentral:lncRNA from 1 species